rnacentral:rRNA from 1 species
GCUAGCGUUGCUCGGAAUCACUGGGCGUAAAGCGCACGUAGGCGGCUUACUAAGUCAGGGGUGAAAUCCUGGAGCUCAACUCCAGAACUGCCUUUGAUACUGGUGAGCUUGAGUCCGGAAGAGGUGAGUGGAACUGCGAGUGUAGAGGUGAAAUUCGUAGAUAUUCGCAAGAACACCAGUGGCGAAGGCGGCUCACUGGUCCGGUACUGACGCUGAGGUGCGAAAGCGUGGGGAGCAAACAGG